GACGAACCGUGCGAACGUUGUUCGGAAUCACUGGGCUUAAAGGGCGCGUAGGCGGAUCGUCAAGUCAGGGGUGAAAUCCUGCGGCUCAACCGCAGAAGUGCCUUUGAUACUGACGGUCUCGAGGGAGGUAGGGGCGUGUGGAACUUCCGGUGGAGCGGUGAAAUGCGUAGAUAUCGGAAGGAACGCCGGUGGCGAAAGCGACGCGCUGGACCUCUUCUGACGCUGAGGCGCGAAAGCCAGGGGAGCAAACGGG
rnacentral:rRNA from 1 species